rnacentral:sRNA from 1 species
ACUGGGUACGGUGGUGCACACCUGUAAUCCCAGUGACAUGGAGGCUGAGGCAGGAGGAUCGCAAGUUAAAAGCUAGCCUCAGUAAUUUAGGGAGGCCGUAAGCAACUUAGAAAGACCCUGUCUCUA